rnacentral:tRNA from 1 species
GCGGCCGUAGCUCAGCGGGAGAGCGCCCGGCUGAAGACCGGGCGGUCCCGGGUUCAGGCUAGAAGCCGCCAAAAAGUCCCGGCGGCCGCACCA